GAUGAACGCUGGCGGCGUGCCUAAUACAUGCAAGUCGAGCGAACAGACGAGGAGCUUGCUCCUCUGACGUUAGCGGCGGACGGGUGAGUAACACGUGGAUAACCUACCUAUAAGACUGGGAUAACUUCGGGAAACCGGAGCUAAUACCGGAUAAUAUAUUGAACCGCAUGGUUCAAUAGUGAAAGACGGUUUUGCUGUCACUUAUAGAUGGAUCCGCGCCGCAUUAGCUAGUUGGUAAGGUAACGGGUUACCAAGGCAACGAUGCGUAGCCGACGUGUGAGGGGGAUCGGCGACACUGGAGCGUGAACACGGUCCAGACUCCUACGGGAGGCAGCAGUCGGGAAUCUUCCGCAAUGGGCGAAAGCCUGACGGAGCAACGCCGCGUGAGUGAUGAAGGUCUUCGGAUCGUAAAACUCUGUUAUUAGGGAAGAACAAAUGUGUAAGUAACUAUGCACGUCUUGACGGUACCUAAUCAGAAAGCCACGGCUAACUACGUG
rnacentral:rRNA from 1 species